GAUGAACGCUGGCGGCGUGCCUAAUACAUGCAAGUCGAGCGAACAGACGAGGAGCUUGCUCCUUUGAUGUUAGCGGCGGACGGGUGAGUAACACGUAGGUAACCUACCUAUAAGACUGGGAUAACUUCGGGAAACCGGAGCUAAUACCGGAUAAUAUUUCGAACCGCAUGGUUCGAUAGUGAAAGAUGGCUUUGCUAUCACUUAUAGAUGGACCUGCGCCGUAUUAGCUAGUUGGUAAGGUAACGGCUUACCAAGGCAACGAUACGUAGCCGACCUGAGAGGGUGAUCGGCCACACUGGAACUGAGACACGGUCCAGACUCCUACGGGAGGCAGCAGUAGGGAAUCUUCCGCAAUGGGCGAAAGCCUGACGGAGCAACGCCGCGUGAGUGAUGAAGGUCUUCGGAUCGUAAAACUCUGUUAUUAGGGAAGAACAAACGUGUAAGUAACUGUGCACGUCUUGACGGUACCUAAUCAGAAAGCCACGGCUAACUACGUG
rnacentral:rRNA from 1 species